rnacentral:rRNA from 1 species
AUUGAACGCUGGCGGCAGGCCUAACACAUGCAAGUCGAACGAGUGGCGGACGGGUGAGUAAUGUCUGGGAAACUGCCCGAUGGAGGGGGAUACCUACUGGAAACGGUAGCUAAUACCGCCUACCAUCGGAUGUGCCCAGAUGGGCUUAGCUAGUCGGUGGGGUAAUGGCUCACCUAGGCGACGGUCCCUAGCUGGGCGGAGAGGAUGACCAGCCAAACUGGAACGGAGACACGGUCAAGACUCCGAGGGGAGGCAGCAGUGGGGAAUAUUGCACAAGGGGCGCAAGCCGUAUGCAGCCAUGCCGCGUGUAUGAAGAAGGCCUUCGGGUUGUAAAGUACUUUCAGCGAGGAGGCGUUACCCGCAGAAGAAGCACCGGCUAACUCCGUGCCAGCAGCCGCGGUAAUAC